rnacentral:misc_RNA from 1 species
GAAAUGCGAUAAGUAAUGUGAAUUGCAGAAUUCAGUGAAUCAUCGAAUCUUUGAACGCACAUUGCGCCCCUUGGUAUUCCGAGGGGCACAUCUGUUCGAGCGUCAUAUCAUCCAGUCAAGCUCAUGCUUGGUGUUGGGCUCUCUCGUCCCCUACUUUUUGGGGGGGACGGGCCCGAAAGAACUCGGCGGCGUGGUCCUGCUCCGGGCGUAGCAGCUAAACCUUUCGCUCGUGGGGCUAGGGUCCACCGCUUCAGCCGUUAAAAAUAGCGGAGAAAAAGGGAGUAACUUCCCCCUCUCUCCCUACAACCAAGAGUUUGACCUCGGAUCAGAUGGGGACACCCGCUGAACUUAA